UUUGGAGAUGUCCAACUUGUGUCAUGCAUUUAAAGACAGACAAGCUUGGAUCUAGUUCGAUAAAUAUUUAUUUGUAAGAUAUCCUAAAGAAUUUAAAAGAUAUUUUUCUAUCAUGUCGAAGAACAAAAGGUGUUUGUCAGCAAUAGGAUAGUUUUUUUUAAAAAAAAUUGAGAAAAGAACUAAUGCCACUAAAAUCGAACUUAGUAAAGUUUGUGAG
rnacentral:lncRNA from 1 species